UCAUAAUUACUGUAAGCUUUAAGGAUUUGAAAAGUGUUCAUAAUAGACUACACUUUAUGCAAAAGUGGAGCUUUUGGUCACUUUUUCUCAAGAAAAGGGUCACUUCUAGUCUUAAGAAUCUGGCCACUGUUUUUAAAGACAUUGCCAUUUUUUAUGCCGCCGGAUCUAUAGAUCGGGGGUAUAUUGUUUUUGUCCUGUCUGUCUGUCAUUCUGUCCCAAAACUUUAACCUUGGUUAAAGUUUGAUAACUGUUGUAGUAUUGAAGAUAGCAACUUGAUAUUUGACAUGCAUGUGUAUCUCAUGGAGCUGCACAUUUUGAGUGGUGAAAGGUCAAGGUCAUCCUUCAAGGUCAAAGGUCAAAUAUUGUAAUUUUUAUGUCCCCCUUCGAAGAAGAGGGGGUAUAUUGCUUUGCUCAUGUUGGUAGGUCGGUCGGUACGUCCGUCCACCAGGUGGUUGUCAGACGAUAACUCAAGAACGCUUGGGCCUAGGAUCAUGAAACUUCAUAGGUACAUUGAUCAUGACUUGCAGAUGACCCCUAUUGAUUUUGAGGUCACUAGGUCAAAGUUUAAGGUCACGGUGACCUGAAAUAGUAAAAUGGUUUCCGGAUGAUAACUCAAGAACGCAUACGCCUAGGAUCAUGAAACUUCAUGGGUAGAUUGAUCAUGACUCGCAGAUGACCCCUAUUGAUUUUGAGGUCACUAGGUCAAAGGUCAAGGUCACGGUGACCCGAAAUAGUAAAAUGAUUUUCGGAUGAUAAUUCAAGAACGCAUAUGCCUAGGAUCAUGAAACUUUAUAGGUAGAUUGAUCAUGACUCGCAGAUGACCCCUAGUGAUAUUUAGGUCACUAGGUCAAAGGUCAAGGUCACGGUGACCCGAAAUAGUAAAAUGGUUUUCGGAUGAUAACUCAAGAACGCAUAUGCCUAGGAUCAUGAAACUUCAUAGGUAGAUUGAUCAUGACUCACAGAUGACCCCUAUUGAUUUUGAGGUCACAAGGUCAAAGGUCAAGGUCACGGUGACCCGAAAUAGUAAAAUGAUUUUCGGAUGAUAGCUCAAGAACGCUUUUGCCUAGGAUCAUGAAACUUCAUAGGUACAUUGAUCGUGACUUGCAGAUGACCCUAUUGAUUUUCAGGUCACUAGGUCAAAGGUCAAGGUCACAGUGACAAAAGUCGUAUUCACACAAUGGCUGCCAGUACAACGGACAGCCCAUAUGGGGGGCAUGCAUGUUUUACAAACAGCCCUUGUCUUUCCUAAAACUUUAACCUUUGUUAAAGUUUUGUCAUAACUUUUUGAAUAUUGAAGAUAGCAACUUGAUAUAUGGCAUGCAUGUGUAUCUCUCGGAGCUGCACAUUUUGAGUGGUGAAAGGUCAAGGUCAUCCUUCAAGGUCAAAGGUCAAAUUUAUGGCUUCAAAGCGGCGCAAUAGGGGGCAUUGUGUUUCUGACAAACACAUCUCUUGGUAUACUUGGAAAACUCGCUAACCAUCGUAAGGGGACUGUACAGGGCAAGUUGCAUAACACGGUUGGCUUUUUAACGGAAUUAUGGCACUUUUUUGUCUUAGUAACUUUGAAUAUUUUGUUAAAUUUGUGUUUAGAUCCACUUUACUUCUAAAGUAUCAAGGCUGUUGCUUUCAAACUUAAAAUACUUUCUUACUAUCAUGAGGGUACUGUACCUGGCAAGUUGAAUUUGACCUUGACCUUUGAAUGACCUUGACUCUCAAGGUCAAAUUAAUAAAUUUUGCUUAAAUUGCCAUAACUUCUUUAUUUAUGAUCACAUUUGAUUCAUACUUUGACAAAACAACACUUAUCUGACAUAACACAAUGGACUCCACCCAAA